CAUCAAGCUCCUUCUUUUUCCUUCUCUUCUUUUCACCAAUCAUCUUGAGGCUUCCUUCUCCGCCAGUCAGUUCGUCGUUGACAGGUGCAUGAAUUCCAGCCAUCACCAUCAAGUCUUCAUCUCCCCUGUUCGGACGUCGGGUUCCUCUUUCCUCUUCGAGCAACAACAAUAAUCUGGUGCGCAACCUUUCUGGUGUGAAUGUUUGGUGCUUCAGACUUUUCCCUCCCUUGUUUCGAUGUCGACUGCCUCUCUUCUCCUUCCUCAUAUUCACGCGGUGACACUUUCUUCUCCAUAUGGUUCUGAAUCCGCUGAUCUAUGUGUUGGAGCUUUAAGCUCUGCCUUUCAUUUGUUUCAACUGAUCGGGAGCUAGCUUAUCAAACAAAAUCAAGGGAAACAACUUGAGCUUAAAAUACUAAUCCUAAUUUGCAGGUCUCAUCUAUUUUGAGAAGUGUCUAAUUUAUCAUGAUGUUGCUAACUAGGAGAUUUCAUAUUUUUACUUGCUUGCCCUAUGUGAUUCUUGAACAAAUUGGUGUAUUUUAGGCCCUAGUUGGUAUGUGUAUUAAAUUGUAAAAUCUAGAAAGGGUUAAAAUACUAACGCAAGUGAGGACAGGGUAAUUAUGUGAUUGAUGAUGAAUUAUAUGAUGUUCUAUGCAAUUGAAACCCCUUUACUGUUUUUGUUAUUAAAGGGUUGAGCAUUGAAAAUA